rnacentral:sRNA from 1 species
AAUGGUUAUUGAUACCGAACACGGGCGUCGAGGAAACUCUACGCCCGUGUUGUCGUCAUGUUAAGAGUAAAAUAAAUGGC